CUUCUAGCAUCAGCUCUAGAAUCCAGCCAGGAAGAAGGACAUAGUACACAGGGCCAAAGAUCUGGACCAGAUGAGAAAACACCAAACGUCCACCACCACCAUCGCCUUAUCUUCAGAGGGGGGGCUUUCCAUUCAAACAUUUGGCUUUCAUGAGUCAUCCCCAGUCUGGUUCACACCCAGAAGCAUCCUGCGUGGCCAUCAGUGCAUACUGGGCUCCAUAACUGUCUUGUUUUCACAACCGGCUGGAGUGAAGAUGGGAGAGGUGGAAGAUGGAGAAAGACAUAUUGAGAUAAACAUGAGAACAGUCUUGUUUCCUUAUGGGAUUGUGACAAAUAUGCACCAGUACCCUACCAUUUAAGCUUAGCUUAAUGCUGGGAUUGUGAUGGAUUUGUUUUUGAC